rnacentral:rRNA from 1 species
GACGAACGCUGGCGGCGUGCCUAAUACAUGCAAGUAGAACGCUGAAGAGAGGAGCUUGCUCUUCUUGGAUGAGUUGCGAACGGGUGAGUAACGCGUAGGUAACCGGCCUUGUAGCGGGGGAUAACUAUUGGAAACGAUAGCUAAUACCGCAUAACAAUGGAUGACACAUGUCAUUUAUUUGAAAGGGGCAAUUGCUCCACUACAAGAUGGACCUGAGUUGUAUUAGCUAGUAGGUGAGGUAAUGGCUCACCUAGGCGACGAUACAUAGCCGACCUGAGAGGGUUGUCGGCCACACUGGGACUGGGACACGGCCCAGACUCCUACGGGAGGCAGCAGUAGGGAAUCUUCGGCAAUGGGGGCAACCCUGACCGAGCAACGCCGCGUGAGUGAAGAAGGGUUUCGGAUCGUAAAGCUCUGUUGUAAGUCAAGAACGGGUGUGAGAGUGGAAAGUUCACACUGUGACGGUAGCUGACCAGAAAGGGACGGCUAACUACGUG